AUCUGGUUGGCUCAGUUGGUAGAGCAUGAGACUCUCAAUCUCAAGGUAGUGAGUUCAAGCCCCACAAUGGGCA
rnacentral:tRNA from 1 species